UACGUAGGGGGCAAGCGUUGUCCGGAAUCAUUGGGCGUAAAGAGCGCGUAGGCGGCCCAGUAAGUCCGCUCUGAAAGUCAGGGGCUCAACCCCUGGAUGCGGGUGGAUACUGCUGGGCUAGAGUCCGGAAGAGGAGAGUGGAAUUCCCGGUGUAGCGGUGAAAUGCGCAGAUAUCGGGAAGAACACCCGUGGCGAAGGCGGUUCUCUGGGACGGUACUGACGCUGAGACGCGAAAGCGUGGGGAGCGAACAGG
rnacentral:rRNA from 1 species